CCUACGGGAGGCAGCAGUGGGGAAUAUUGCACAAUGGGGGAAACCCUGAUGCAGCGACGCCGCGUGAAGGAAGAAGUAUUUCGGUAUGUAAACUUCUAUCAGCAGGGAAGAAAAUGACGGUACCUGACUAAGAAGCCACGGCUAACUACGUGCCAGCAGCCGCGGUAAUACGUAGGGAGCAAGCGUUAUCCGGAUGUACUGGGUGUAAAGGGAGCGUAGGCGGUUUAGCAAGUCAGAAGUGAAAGCCCGGUUCUCAACUCCGGGACUGCUGUUGAAACUGUUGAACUAGAUUGCAGGAGAGGUAAGCGGAAUUCCUAGUGUAGCGGUGAAAUGCGGAGAGAUUAGGAGGAACACCAGUGGCGAAGGCGGAUUACUGGACUGUAAAUGACGCUGAGGCUCGAAAGCGUGGGGAGCAAACAGGAUUAGAUACCCUUGUAGUC
rnacentral:rRNA from 1 species